rnacentral:rRNA from 1 species
CGGACGGGUGAGUAAUGUCUGGGAAACUGCCUGAUGGAGGGGGAUAACUACUGGAAACGGUAGCUAAUACCGCAUAACGUCGCAAGACCAAAGAGGGGGACCUUAGGGCCUCUUGCCACCGGAUGUGCCCAGAUGGGAUUAGCUAGUAGGUGGGGUAAAGGCUCACCUAAGCGACGAUCCCUAGCUGGUCUGAGAGGAUGACCAGCCACACUGGAACUGAGACACGGUCCAG